rnacentral:rRNA from 1 species
AGAGUUUGAUCAUGGCUCAGAUUGAACGCUGGCGGAAUGCUUUACACAUGCAAGUCGAACGGCAGCACGGGGCAACCUGGUGGCGAGUGGCGAACGGGUGAGUAAUAUAUCGGAACGUGCCCAAUCGUGGGGAUAACGUAGCGAAAGUUACGCUAAUACCGCAUACGAUCUACGGAUGAAAGCGGGGGAUCGCAAGACCUCGCGCGAAUGGAGCGGCCGAUAUCAGAUUAGGUAGUUGGUGGGGUAAAGGCUCACCAAGCCAACGAUCUGUAGCUGGUCUGAGAGGACGACCAGCCACACUGGAACUGAGACACGGUCCAGACUCCUACGGGAGGCAGCAGUGGGGAAUUUUGGACAAUGGGCGCAAGCCUGAUCCAGCCAUUCCGCGUGCAGGAUGAAGGCCUUCGGGUUGUAAACUGCUUUUGUACGGAACGAAACGGUCUGCCCUAAUACGGUGGGCUAAUGACGGUACCGUAAGAAUAAGCACCGGCUAACUACGUG